rnacentral:misc_RNA from 1 species
GAUGAAGAACGUAGCGAAAUGCGAUAAGUAAUGUGAAUUGCAGUAUUCAGUGAAUCAUCGAAUCUUUGAACGCACAUUGCGCCCGCCAGUAUUCUGGCGGGCAUGCCUGUUCGAGCGUCAUUUCAACCCUCAAGCCCAGCUUGGUGUUGGGGAUCGGCACAGGCGCCCUCGGGCGCCCGCCGUCCCCUAAAUCUAGUGGCGGUCCCGCUGCAGCCUCCUCUGCGUAGUAGUUUUCUCCUCGCAAGGGCAGCUCGGUGGCGACCUCGCCGUAAAACCCCCAACUUCUGAAAGGUUGACCUCGAAUCAGGUAGGAAUACCCGCUGAACUUAAGCAUAUCAAUAAGCGGAGGA